rnacentral:misc_RNA from 1 species
UGUGGGAGCUGGCUUGCCUGCGAUGGCGGCGGUUCAGUAACUGAUGGGCUAACUGGCAGGACGCUAUCGCAGGCAAGCCAGCUCCCACA